rnacentral:lncRNA from 1 species
UGUUUGUAAUGAUGGCUACUGUGUUGGGCUCGCUCCAGAGCUGCAAAUGUACCUAACCAUGAUUCAUCUGCCUAUAUGCCACUCUUAACCUUAUUUUGUAUACUGAAACAUCAACACUGAGACUCUCAAAACGUUUUUAACCUCUCAUACCUAGGAAGCUAUCAGACAUUGUGAGCCAAUAAAGCAAUAUACAUUCUUGGUUUGGUUCAAGGAAGUAACCCGUCA